CCUUGCAAUAAUGCCCUAUUCUUAUAUAACCUUAGGGAAAUUUUUAUUAAAAUAAUUUUAUUGGCAUCCCUAAAUGUAUAGUUGUUGCUUGGAGAUCUUCAUCAAACCAUACUGUAAAAAUUCCUCUGAUUCUUGGAAAAGAUGACUGUUUCUACAGAGGAAAUUGGUGGUUACCAGGAUCAUUACAGCUGGUAUUCUAUAAACCACAAGGCUGAUCCUCCAUGCUAGGGACCUGGAUCAAGUGCCACUUUUGCGGUUAACCUACAAGGUCAUUAUCUCUCUGAACAGCUUCAUUUUUCAUCUAUAAAAUGGGAGGAAAUAAACUUACACCUUAAGGUGGAGUAAAACACCAGGUAGAACAUAUACAUAUUGCAGGGCUCUGCUGCUCACCAGAUGGAGCCCUGAGGAAGAGAAUGAGAAUGAACUUGAUUCUCUUAUUCUUCCGAAAGAUGGGAUGAAGUUUCAUGAAGGGGAUUGUGGUGGGGAAAUAUGAACCUCCAAAGGAGAGAGUGGAGUCAAGCACCUCUUCAGCUCAUGGCACCCAAUCAUCAUUCCAGAUAUGCUCGCCUUCAACCGUAAAGCAAAUGUUGCGCUGCUCUGCAUCCAACCAAUGGUCUCCAAGAGUGAAAAGUAGCCUGAACCUAAGAACUUCUGGCCUGUUACCCUGCAAAGAAAUACCCAAACUCUGUGUGUGGGCACGUGUGUUGUGUGUGUGUGUGUGUGUGUGUGUGUAUGUGUCCACACAUGUACGCUCAUGCGCAUGUAUUGCAGGAUGAAUUAAAAAGUUCCUUCUUCUAA